AUCAAAGAUGGCGCGAAAUGUCGGAGUGUGAUGUGAACACAUCACUAUACUAAAAUGGAUAUUCGAUCGUUCUUCAGCCCUGCUUGGAAAGACAGCGAAGUAAGGCGUUUCGAAAGUAGAAAAUAAGCGCGGCAAAGAUUCUACUGCAAAGUCAUUAUCGAAGCAAGAUGUAGGAAAGAGCCGAACGAAAAGCAAGGAGUCUUGGAAAGUAUUGAGAGAGAGGAAGCUGCUGAUUUGAUAAAAAGAUAUGGUGGAAAAGUUACCCAAUCAGUGAACAAAACAAUUUAUUUCAUGGGAUGGGAUCCUGGAGGGAGUAAACUUUCUAAGGAGAACCAAGUGUGUUAUUGGUAGACAAAUGUCGGCCUCGCGCAGUGAAGCAGAUUAUUGGUCAGCAGGGUGAUAAGAGCAACAUGAGAAAACUGAUGAACUGGCUGAGAGACUGGGGAAAAGAUUGAAAGAACUCAGCCUCUAAAUACUGAAAUUUCCCAAUUUUCGAGAAUUCCACGUUAAUCAGUCGAACAAAGAGAAAAGAGAGGAAGGACGCGCUCAAGCUCUGAGAGAUCUCAUGGCCACAAAAUAUCAGCCUGGAGAUUCUUCAACACGCAGCGUGCGUUUCUCUGAGUUGUGUUCCAUUGAGCACAGUUUUCAUAGUUAUUGAUGGACCAUCCGUUUACUUCUGGGUUUGCCUCAGUGAAGUGUAAGAGAGAAAUUGAAAAGUUCAAGGAGGUGAUUUACUGGGCACCAUUUGUACUAAUUGGUGACGACGUCAGCCUGGAUUUCAAGGAUAUUUAGAAGCUGAAGCAAAUAAAUAUUCUGUGUAUACCUUGUAUUCAAUACAAAGUUGCCUUAAUUCAUAAUUAUAGCUUAUGUAUGAGCACUGA